rnacentral:tRNA from 1 species
GAAUAGCUCAGUCGGCAGAGCAUCAGCUUCCCAAGCUGAGGGUCGCGGGUUCGAAUCCCGUUUC